GUCAGAUAAAGGAUCAUUUCCAUAAUUAGGCAUUGUAUUGUGUUGAUACAGGCUCUGACGAGACUCACCCACUGAAGACGAGAAGUGAGACUUCUGCCAAUCCAGUCCAUCACAUUGAAGACAAUGAAUGAACACAAAGAGUAUCCAUCGAUGAGCAAGUAAUGGAAUGGUAAAUUUCUUUAAUGAAGAAAAACUCAUCUACUUCUUGGAUGGCCUGAGGAAGUAAACAAAUGUUGCAUGAACCAGAUACUCACUGCUGGUAUAGAAAGGAGUUGAGAAGUGUGAAUAGCAGCAAGGGAAGCUGGGCUAACAGCACACUCAUGUUACCAAACAUGUACGUGUCAGUCGGUGUAGAAUUUGUACCAUUUUUCAAACGUGAUGAAGAAGUUCCAUGGAAGCAGAGUUCCCAUUCCCAACAAGAAAAAGAUAACAGCCACAAGGCCACUGUCAAGAUGCAGUGAUCCAGAAAUUUCUUCACUGGGGGCCUCUUGGAGAUGGCAAUAAAUCAAAAUCCACCCAAGCUAUUGCUGUCAUUCAAGAACUUAUCAUUUCCUCCCCCAUUGUGGCUGAGCUACACAUUCUCUUCAUUUUAUUUUAAACAUAAAACAUCCAGAGGAGAUGGCACCUACGUUGGAAUUCAUACAAAUUCUUCCUGUGAAGAAAUCCUGAACGAGGGUCGACGGUUCAGAUGAAGGGAACCUAUGCUUCCAAGACUCAUAUAUGAACAACUUCGAGAAUCCAUGUACAAUUUGAGCUUUUUUCAGAUCUCAACAUGGAACUUGGACUGAACAUGCAGCAAAAGGAAAAAAAAAAAAAAAGUAGUUUCCUCAAGCUGGCACAUGGCAAGAGAUACUAAAAGCACACAAACACUUGGAACCCUGCUCUUAAUUUAGAUUGUAUAGUUCUCUUAGUUUCACAUUGAAAUGUCAGGCAUGAGUGCAUGGAUCUUUGUUCUUUAUUUUCAAAUGCUGUACAAAGUUUUUUUUUUUGCAGUACCAUGUCAGUUGUAGAUGACACAAUUCACAUUUUUGGGUGAACUGUCCUUUUAAAUAACAAGUCUAUAGCAAUUGUUAUUAAUCACAGCCCUGUGAACAUCUGAAAAUGUUUUGAAUCUUGACUUUCACAGUAAAGUUUAUCUUUGUGACCACUAUUUGGUGCAACACCAAUAUUGAGCAGGUACUUGUUCAGGUUUUCUUUUUUUCUGCCUGUUGCCGUUUAAAACUAAAAAAGUUUGACAAUACAAGCAUUUUCAAUGGUGCUUUACACAUUGUUAAAUUAACUGAUGUCAUAAUAUUUUUAUGUCUUCACCUGUUAAAGGCAAAUAAAAGUGAACGCACUAUUAAGAAUGUUUAG